rnacentral:RNase_P_RNA from 1 species
CAAGCAGGCUACCCUAUCGAUUUGCCCUGAAUUUUAUUCAAGGCAAAUAGGAAAGUCCGGACACCAUAGUGCGGCAUAGCGGGUAACACCCGUCGUUCGUCUUUUGACGAAAAGGACAAGUGCAACAGAAAGCAAGUACAGUUCGGCUGUAGUGAAACCAGGUAAACUCUAUGCGGUGAAACGUCAUGUAAAUCGGUGCUUGAGGGCUGCACGCUCGAGCCGAAGGGUAGGCGGUUUGAGCCUUUGGGCAACCAAAGGUCUAGAUAAAUGAUAGGGAUUCACUUUUUAGUGAAAACAGAAUCCGGCUUAUGGCCUGCUUAUUUU